UACAGAGGUCUCAAGCGUUUGUUCGGAUUCAUUGGGCGUAAAGGGUGCGUAGGCGGCGCGGUAAGUCGGGUGUGAAAUCUUGGAGCUUAACUCCGAAACUGCAUUCGAUACUGCCGUGCUUGAGGACUGGAGAGGAGACUGGAAUUUACGGUGUAGCGGUGAAAUGCGUAGAUAUCGUAAGGAAGACCAGUGGCGAAGGCGGGUCUCUGGACAGUUCCUGACGCUGGAGGCACGAAGGCCCAGGGGGAGCAAAACGGGG
rnacentral:rRNA from 1 species